AUGACGUCACAAGCGGUACAAAGAGCACGACCAUUAAUUACGCAUAUAUGCGUAGUUGGUAUUCAAAGGGUUAAAGCAAAGAACAGAUGAAUUGAUUGCAGGUUUGACUGAAGGAGUGAAAAUAUAAUUUCACUAGGUUUUAAGUAAAGAAAUACACUAGCAAAUUUUCUGAUUCUAUCUGACGAGAAAUUAGUAUUUUUUAAAUAGUCCAAGCAAUGUUAGUAAUAACUGAAUCAUACAGUUAAGCUAUAUAAUAAUAUUAAAAUAAGCGUUAAAAUUAACUUGGUAAAUUCAAUUUGUGUUCUUUGUCAGUUUUUAAUUUUCUUGUGUCUGGGGUCUACAUUAUAUUGCUUUUAAUAUGGAUUUUUCUUGUUUUUGCAGACACGCUGAGGACCAAGAAUUAGAUAUACUUGAUGCACAUCCAGUACUGUGAUGUUUUGUUUAUUGGAUCUUGCUGGCAUAUUACAUCACUUUGGCAUGUUCUGAGGCUGCUUAUGUUAUUUUUCGCAACUAGUAUCAAACUGAUUGUUUGUCACUCCUUGAAAUACGUUUUAUGGUGACUAGGUCAUUUCAUAACGUAUGUGGAAUUCCUAUCUGUGU